GGAGGGCAAGUCUGGUGCCAGCAGCCGCGUAAUUCCAGCUCCAAUAGCGUAUAUUAAAGUUGUUGCAGUUAAAAGCUCGUAGUUGAAUUUCGAGACCGGUUUAUUGGUCGUGCUUUGUACGUACUGGUAUUAUUGGUUUCUCCUUUCUGACGAAUCUUAAUGCCAUUAAUUUGGUGUUUUGGGAAUCAGGACUGUUACUUUGAAAAAUUAGAGUGUUUAAAGCAGGCUCACGCUUGAAUACAUUAGCAUGGAAUAACAAAAUGGACGUUUGAAUUUUAUUUUGUUGGUUUUUAGGAUCGACGUAAUGAUUAAUAGGGAUAGUUGGGGGCAUUAGUAUUCAAUUGUCAGAGGUGAAAUUCUUGGAUUUAUUGAAGACUAACUACUGCGAAAGCAUUUGCCAAGGAUGUUUUCAUUAAUCAAGAACGAAAGUUAGGGGGAUCGAAGACGAUCAGAUACCGUCGUAGUCUUAACCAUAAACUAUGCCGACUAGGGAUCGGAUGAUGUUAAUUUUUUAAUGACUCAUUCGGCGCCUUACG
rnacentral:rRNA from 1 species